rnacentral:sRNA from 1 species
AGUUACUACUGUACUUUAUUGUGUUCAACCAAAUCAGAUCCGGUUGUAUUUCUAAAAGCAAAACAGAUUCCUCUUCCUGGAAAUAUGACCUAUGCAUCUCUUCAUUUUCUAGCCCAUAGGGGACAUGGGCUAUGCAAGGUUCUGGUCAAGGUCAGCAAUAGUGCUUAGAGACAAGGCUGUUCAGGAGCUAAGGUAGAUAAAUUAAUAGGAGUGUAGGGUCAGUGGGUUGAAUUGGGUAGGAGAGGAAGAGGGGAGGAAGGAGAGAGAAAGAGAGGGGGAGGGAGGGAGAGAGAAAAAGAGAGAAGGGAAGGGAGGGAGAGAGAGAGGAAGAGAAAGGAACUCUUCAAGUUCUAAUGCUCUAUUUUGAGUAUACUUUGCUCUCAGAGAAGCCAGACAGAAGUUGUGGAGUUUUGUGCUCCUGGCUCUGACACUACCCACUGAUCUAACUUGCUCUGGGCUCACUCUUCAGUCACAGUAGCACCUUCCCUGCCAUCCCUGGCCAUUGAUUGUAUUAGUGUUCUUGAAUUGGCUGAGCUUCCUUUACUAUUCAAAAAAAUUCAUCGUACUCAAAGUCUGAUACUGAGAAAAAUGAGAACUUGUUUUCAAUGGGCAUGACUGCAUCUUCCUGACUGGGAGAAUGUCAGAGGGCAGCUGCUGGAAAGGUUCCCUCCCCAACUUUGCCAACUCAUUAGAGACUAUUAGAAGACUAAUCUCCAGUUCUUGUCAGGAUAGUGAGAUCAUGUGACUAGUUCCAGCAAAUGAGAAUCAAUGGAGGUAUUUAGGGAACUUUUGGCCUUGGAGUGAGUGUGACUUUUAAAGUACUUUUGAUUUCUUUUUCUAGAACAAUUCCAAGACUACAUGUUGGGAAAAAUCCAUCCUGAAACCAUAAGUAGCAACGAGGAGGAAUUUCCUGGGGUUCCUACAUACAGUAAUUGAAGCAGAGUUCUGAUGCAAUGAGAACAUCGCCAAGACUAUUCUAACAACAAAGAAGAGGACACCCAGCAAUGCCUGGACACAGUAUGAGGACUCAUCCUAAAUGCAUUGAUUUGUAAGGAGGGUGGGCCAGGAGCAGAGGGAUUCAUGCUCAUUUGAGAAUCUACGCUGGAACAAAGGAUCUAGAAUCAUCGAUGAUACAAACCUUUAGAUUACUGAGAGGAAAAGCCCCACCCUAACUGGCCACAUCACUACGUAGACUGGGCUCUGGGCUGGAAAUAAAGGAGACAGCAAGUUGAGCAAGUGCAUUCCUCUCUCCUCGCUUCCUGACUGUGGGAGCACAAGGAGUGCCUGGGGCUUGUGCACCUCUGAGCAUGUCUUCUUGAGUGUUGAGAUACUAAAGGAGUUUGUUGGCCCAGAUUUCUCAGAAGUAUGUGAUGUUCAGCCAUGGGCACUUUUGGAUAUAUUCAGCUAAGUGCAAAGUACAAGGCAGUAACUGUUGACCUCUACGUUUCAAAACCAGUGGGAAAUGGUUGGGAUGAAGAUCUCCAAGGAUGUUCCUCACAGUACUCCUGAGAAGAAUGGACCUUGAUGUCUCCACUGUUGGCACUAACUUCUGGAGCUCCUGACCGCCAAGAGCAGCAGUUCCCCCUCCACAUCUAACCCAACCUAACAAAGCUGGUCAGUACGUCCCUGUGUAAUGUAGGCAUCCCAUAGUAUUUUGCCUCAAACCCUUUUCUAACUCUCUCCAGAUCUCUGUUUUCUUUAAAGGCAUUCUAAAAAAAAAACACAAGACAAACAAAAAUGAUAAAAAAAACCCCAACCCACACACUCCCAAAACCCAAACCCACACAAACCCCCAACUUUGUGUUCCUACACAUAGCAACAUCUCAAUACUUUGAUUUUUAAACUCUGUACAAUCCAAGCCUUUAGCAUGAUCAGAGGUCUGUGAGGAAUAUUCUUGAUUAGGAUAAUGGAGGGAAGACCAACAAAUAUCGACUCACACUAUUACCUGGGCGUCCACCCUGGACCUCAUACAAAGACAAGAGCAGGCUGAGUAGGAACACUCAUUGUUCUUUGCUUCCCAUCUGUAGAGACAGCUUGAACAGUUACCUCGAGCUCUGUCUGCCAGGAUUGCUUCACCAACACGGGACUGUACCCUUGAACUGUGAUCUGAAAUAAAGCUUCUUUUCAAAA